GCACUUCGGGAUAAGCUUGGGAAACUGGGUCUAAUACCGGAUAGGACUACGGCCUGCAUGGGUUGUGGUGGAAAGCUUUUGCGGUGUGGGAUGGGCCCGCGGCCUAUCAGCUUGUUGGUGGGGUGAUGGCCUACCAAGGCGACGACGGGUAGCCGGCCUGAGAGGGUGUCCGGCCACACUGGGACUGAGAUACGGCCCAGACUCCUACGGGAGGCAGCAGUGGGGAAUAUUGCACAAUGGGCGCAAGCCUGAUGCAGCGACGCCGCGUGGGGGAUGACGGCCUUCGGGUUGUAAACCUCUUUCACCAUCGGCGAAGCCGGGAGCUUUUGUUUCUGGUGACGGUAGGUGGAGAAGAAGCACCGGCCAACUACGUGCCAGCAGCCGCGGUAAUACGUAGGGUGCGAGCGUUGUCCGGAAUUACUGGGCGUAAAGAGCUCGUAGGUGGUUUGUCGCGUUGUCCGUGAAAUUCCCUGGCUUAACUGGGGGCGUGCGGGCGAUACGGGCAGACUGGAGUACUGCAGGGGAGACUGGAAUUCCUGGUGUAGCGGUGGAAUGCGCAGAUAUCAGGAGGAACACCGGUGGCGAAGGCGGGUCUCUGGGCAGUAACUGACGCUGAGGAGCGAAAGCGUGGGGAGCGAACAGGAUUAGAUACCCUGGUAGUCCACGCCGUAAACGGUGGGUACUAGGUGUGGGUUUCCUU
rnacentral:rRNA from 1 species